UGUUGGGAAAAGGGAUGCGCCUGACGUGGCCGUCCCCUCCCCCAGCGCCCCGCAAGUGUUCGAGAGGAAGGCCGCGGGGGUAUCUGCCAUCAGGAAAGACAAAAUGGAGCCACGCAGGGGAAAGCAGCAUGGGGUGGGGGAAGGUGGCACGUUUCCGGCGCAGGGAGAGGAAGAACAGGUGCUCCUCCAAGGAAGACUGCCGCUGCUCCCCGGGCCCUGGCAGCCUGCCCCGCCGCAGAGCUGCGCGCACGCCGGCCUCCUGGCAGCGGAGCCCGCGGCGGAACCACCACAGCGAAGCAUUCUGUCCCCUCGCAGCUGCUCUCCCAAAAACUACAGGUCCUCCAGGAGGCCGAGAUAAACCUACGCGCAGCCUUGUCUUCCGGGAGAGGAGAGUGCCUGUUUCCCUACGCGAAAUGAUGUUUAAGAUCCCUGCCCGAGCCCCCAGUCCCGCAGUUAAGCAUCAACUGGCCGCCUAACGGGAUUGUUCUUCCGCUUGGCAUUUGCAAGGGAUGGAUUUUUCUCCGUUCUCUCCUCUGCCAAGUUUGCCUCCUCUGAGGCUCUCUGGGAGGGUAUUUGUAACUCUGCAGUUCAGUUUGAGGAAGGAAAAAAAAAUAAGACAAUUUUCCAAAGCAAUCGUGUGGUCUUUAAAAUAUUGUUAUGUAAAUGAAUCUAAUGUGUCUCUAAAUUCAUUAAGUGGGUUGGAGGGUUACUAGCCCUGGAGGGCCCCAGCGAAAUUGGCAGAGACAUUUUCACUGUCUAGGUUGUGGUUGUUGACCUUUUCUUCUGUCUUGCUUACCCUUUCCUAGGGAGGAGGCAGGAACUCGAGGGGCUUAUCGGAGUGGCAGAAGGAAAGCCCCCACUGAAAAUGCCUGUUAUGCGCCUUCUGGGAACCGUCCUCCUCUUUCACUUCCUCCCAGCCCCAGCUGGAAUUCCCAAAUGUAGCCUAAACCAGUACCAUACCUGCUAGACAAAUUGUAUAAAUUAGACAUCCCUAAGAGGGAGGAGAAUUUUGGAUGGGGAGCAAAUAAAGGAAAAGGAA